rnacentral:rRNA from 1 species
AACGAACGCUGGCGGCAGGCUUAACACAUGCAAGUCGAGCGCCCCGCAAGGGGAGCGGCAGACGGGUGAGUAACGCGUGGGAAUCUACCGUGCCCUACGGAAUAACGCAUGGAAACGUGUGCUAAUACCGUAUACGCCCUACGGGGGAAAGAUUUAUCGGGGUAUGAUGAGCCCGCGUUGGAUUAGCUAGUUGGUGGGGUAAAGGCCUACCAAGGCGACGAUCCAUAGCUGGUCUGAGAGGAUGAUCAGCCACAUUGGGACUGAGACACGGCCCAAACUCCUACGGGAGGCAGCAGUGGGGAAUAUUGGACAAUGGGCGCAAGCCUGAUCCAGCCAUGCCGCGUGAGUGAUGAAGGUCUUAGGAUUGUAAAGCACUUUCACCGGUGAAGAUAAUGACGGUAACCGGAGAAGAAGCCCCGGCUAACUUCGUGCCAGCCGCCGCCGUAA